rnacentral:sRNA from 2 species
CGUGCGCCAUCGCUUAAUUCCGGAGCACCCCGCCGGGUGCCCGGGAGCCGGGGAACCACCACCCCGCGUUCUACGCGGGGACCUGGGGUGCAUCGGGCCGUCAGGCCCGUAGGAGACCUUCCUGCUCCGAACCCGUCAGCUAACCCGGUCGGCGAGAGGGAAGGAAAGG